UUGAUUCUCUAGUAGCGGCGAGUGAAGCGGGAAGAGCUCAAAUUUGAAAUCUGGCAGUCUUCGAUUGUCCGAGUUGUAAUCUAUAGAGGCGUUUUCCGUGCCGGACCGUGUCCAAGUCUCCUGGAAAGGAGUAUCAAAGAGGGUGAUAAUCCCGUACUUAACACGACCACCGGUGCUCUGUGAUACGUCUUCUACGAGUCGAGUUGUUUGGGAAUGCAGCUCAAAAUGGGUGGUGAAUUCCAUCUAAAGCUAAAUAUUGGCGAGAGACCGAUAGCGAACAAGUACCGUGAGGGAAAGAUGAAAAGCACUUUGGAAAGAGAGUUAAACAGUACGUGAAAUUGUUGAAAGGGAAACGAUUGAAGUCAGUCGUGUUCUUUGGAUUCAGCCAGUUCUGCUGGUCUACUUCCUUUGAACGGGUCAACAUCAGUUUUGUCCGGUGGAUAAAGGUAGUAGGAAUGUGACUUCCCCGGAAGUGUUAUAGCCUAUUAUCACAUACACUGGGUGAGACUGAGGACUGCAGCUCGCCUUUAUGGCCGACCUUCGGGUACGUUCGAGCUUAGGAUGUUGACAUAAUGGCUUUAAACGACCCGUCUUAAAACACCCGGACCAAAGGAAAAAAUAA
rnacentral:rRNA from 1 species